rnacentral:lncRNA from 1 species
GUGGUGGUAGCCCUUUGAUAGGAGCUGUUGAAGCAUCUAUCCCAAUCUCAGAGGUGGCUCAGGCAGUCACACCAUUUGCUCUACACCUUCCACCACACAGCUGCCCCCUUGGUACUUGAAGGCUCUGGUGGAAGCAGCUGGAAGGCUUGUCCUGAAUGGUAAGGACAGUACCUGCCUUGGCUUCUGCAGAAAGUGGUGCCCCCCCUUCCGAGCAGAGCUGCCUUGGUUUUGAAGCUUUAGCUCUGGGGUCCUUCCGAGGGUUUCACACCCCUGCGCGAGAGCAUGUUUUAAAACGGAAAGAAACUGAGCUGGGGGAGGAGGGAGGAGUCGGAAAUAACCGAAAGGGGAGAGUGAGAUCUAAGUGAGAUCUAAAAACACGCCACCACUGAUGGAGCCAAGCCAGGGAGGAUGCCGAAUUCAGCACGCGCUGCCUGCUCUGGGUUUUCCUAGGUUGGGAGGGGCUGCUCCUGGGGCGGGAUACGUAGGGCAGUGUGGUUCAUUUCGUUCCUCUCUCUUGCUCUCCUCCUAAUUGGGGGUCCACAGUCCACAGUCUGAACAAGCUGACCUAACCAAGGCCGCUGCUGCCCACCCACCCGGCCCCAGGUCACCUGUCCCACCCGUGACUGCAAGUGGUGUUUUCCCACGACUGGGAGAAGUUAAGUCUGCCAUGAAGAUGGUAGGGAAACAGAACACAAAAUGGAGGAAGCAAAAUCAGACUGUUCUAAACAGAGCCAGACAGUGUGAGGGGCUGAACGGAGAGCAGGUCUUUACCGAUUAUGGGAGCAGGUGUAGGCAGAUGCAUGCGUGGGGUGAACCCAGAUGCCCAACCCAGGGUGGAGACCCAGAAGAUUCAGCCGUAGGAGGACACCCUACCAGUCCCUGGGCUUUGCCUGUUGUCUCCUAUCCCAGUGAACCAAGGAGAAAGUCAGAGCCUUGGAAAACUCACAGGUACUGGCAAAAUUUCAUGUCAAUUCCACUUUCUGUGACACGAGGCACAAGCCUUUCCCAAUCCAGGGAAACCUUAAUCUUUCUUUAGAAGAGCACAAAGGCAGUGAAGGAGAAGCAUCAGGAAAAUGGAACAGAAGAGUAGUGACAGGGGUUUGCCUGUAGCAAAGGUGUAUUCAGUGGGUUCUGAGGUCUUCCCUGUGCCAAUCUCUCAUCUGAAGCAUAAGAGAACACGCGUAAAUGAGCAUUUUCUGUCUCUGCUGGCACUGUGUAACACGUUCUGUUUUCCCAUGACGUCAGUGGGGAAGGGAACCGUCUACAGAACCUCCUUUGUGCCAGGAACAGGGUAUAGACUGUAGACAUCACUGCACAUACACCGUAAGAUACCGUGGUAAUUCGAAUGGCGUGCGCCAGGCCACAUGCUGAGUGCUUUAUGUGCAUUAUUUCAUUUAAUCCUCCCACAUGGAGGGAGCCGCCCAGCACAGACAAGAGCACAGGCUCUGGAGUCAGACUGCUUGGGAUUCAUUCUGGGCACCAGCACUUACUGGCUGGGCAGCCUUAGGCAAAUGACUUAACUUGUCUGUGUUUCAGUUUCCUCCCCUAUAAAUGAAGAUACUAAUAGUUCCUCUCUCGUGGGGUUGUUGUGACGAUUAAAUGACUUCGUACAUGCAACAUGCUUGAAACAAUACACAGCCCACAGAA